rnacentral:rRNA from 1 species
UAGGGAAUCUUCCGCAAUGGGCGAAAGCCUGACGGAGCAACGCCGCGUGAGUGAUGAAGGUCUUCGGAUCGUAAAACUCUGUUAUUAGGGAAGAACAAAUGUGUAAGUAACUAUGCACGUCUUGACGGUACCUAAUCAGAAAGCCACGGCUAACUACGUGCCAGCAGCCGCGGUAAUACGUAGGUGGCAAGCGUUAUCCGGAAUUAUUGGGCGUAAAGCGCGCGUAGGCGGUUUUUUAAGUCUGAUGUGAAAGCCCACGGCUCAACCGUGGAGGGUCAUUGGAAACUGGAAAACUUGGGUGGAGAAGAGGAAAGUGGAAUUCCAUGUGUAGCGGUGAAAUGCGCAGAGAUAUGGAGGAACACCAGUGGCGAAGGCGACUUUCUGGUCUGUAACUGACGCUGAUGUGCGAAAGCGUGGGGAUCAAACAGG